GCAACGGAUAUCUCGGCUCUCGC
rnacentral:siRNA from 1 species